GGGGUAAAGGAAAUUAAGAAUGCAAAGAUCGUACUACAGAAGCUGUUAAAUGUCUGCAUCUGCCCAUCACUCAUCCCCUGCGGUGUGUGUGUGGGUGCCUGUGUGUGUCUCGUACAUUAGUCACUGAGAGCUUCCUUAACGAGGUACUCUUAAUUGCCAAAGUGUUCUGGGAGUUACUGUUGCAGUCUUUCUCUCCCUCCACUUCCCCCUCUCCUACUCUCUCUUUCUCCUAGUGCUACGUUUUUCUUUUUCGCCCUCUCCGGAAACUUAUUUUUGUUUCAGGUGUUGAUCCUUUUCAGUCUUUGAGGUGUGUGUGUGUGUGUGUGUGCCUGAGCAUGACUCAGUGAGCAGAUGUGUUUGUGUGCUUGUGUGUAUAAAUUUCUUUGUGUGUGUAUAUAUAUAUAUGUCAACAAAUGAAAAAGCGUGUCUCCGUGAGUCAGAUGGCUGCACGAUGUCCUUGGUCUGGCUGGCUGGCGUUCAGGCUGUCUGGAGCAUCUCCUGAGGCUGCUGCAGGGAAUGUAACCCGGGUCACUGUACAGGAGCAGGAUAUGAAGUUGACUAUGGGGUUGGUGGUGGGAGACAGCGAGGCACAGAGAGAAAAAGAGAGGAGGGGUGUUGCCUCUGGGUUGAGCUGCAAGGGAGCUAGAGACAGACAGGUUGGAAUGUUUUAUUGUCUCCGAGGCAUCGCUCAGCUCUCCUGUCUCCUCUUCUCUCAUGCAGAGUUGUGCAAGACUCAUCCGUCAUAAAUGCAAGCUGUAUUUCACCAAUUAGCGAGUGAAUAAAUGGUGAACUUGUCACAGAUUGGCAUCUUUUGAACAUCUGUUCGUAGAGAAUGUUGUGUUUUGGGUCAGUUGUUGUUUAUUCUGGUUCCAUGUUAGAUAUUCAGGUAUUGUGUUUCCUGCUUCUCAUGCAUAAGAUCGAUGACUCCCUUGUCUCCCUACGGCCUUUGUUAUGAAGAUGGUCUGGCCCAGAUGUGUUUCACCUGUAUCCUCUUCAGUAUUUUGCCUGGGAAUACAGAAAUGGAAUUCACCCAUUUACUUUGUAUGCUUUGUUGUCAAUUAGUGUCAAUUGGGCUUUGGAGAUUUCUGUCCAAAUUAAAAACUUUUUUUUCAGUUUUUCAAAGCAUCAAUUGUUUUCAUGCAACACAAAUUCACAUUUUCAAACAUGUGCUGUAUUUACAUUUAUUUCUUGUUUUUUUGGCUCCAUUAUCUUCCAGCUAAUGAACUAAUUUGCAGUUUUUGUUCAAAAUAAGCUUUUUCUGGUUGGAAAUAUUACUUUCUCCAUUUACUUUAGUGUUCACAUGUUUCCAAAAAGAUAUAUAGUAUGUCACAUUUGUGUUUGUCAAACAAUUGUCCUUGACCUUCUCACUACAUUUGUGUGCAGAAACAUCUGGCAUGUAUAUUAUCCA
ensembl:lncRNA